UAGAGUUGAGGUUGAGAAAACUGCUCUAGAUUAAGUUUCUAGACCUAACUUUUAGUCCCUACUCUACCCCUGUUCCAGUUGGGAAGACCAGUCAGUUGCAGAAUCAGAAACAUCACCAUCUCUUCCAGGAUCUUCACCAACCCUACCUGGAGCUCCCUCCUGGCCUCCCUGACCAAAUGAUGCGGUUCUAAAUCGAAGUCAAACAGAGAACAUCCGGUUAGUGCAACCUAAAUCACAUCAAGCAUCCUAACUGGAGGAUAGACUGGUGAAGUCACACUCUGGAGGUGCGAAAAAGAAUUUCUAUUUACUUUCCAGUACCACUUUCAGGAACCAGUUUGUUAAAUCUUUGAAAGCUGCAUAUUAAGUAACCCCAGCGCUUUAAAUCUGUACCCAUUAGCUGUCCAUGGAUUAAUUUAUUGGGCUGGAAAUGGCAGUUUGAAACCCUGAAGGAUUCAGGACAAUUUCCUGUGGUGUCUCUGUAAAGCUGCAAAUGCCAUGUCAGAAACAACAGGGAGCCCCAGACUGUGUGACGUGGAGUGAGAGGAGAACUAUAAACAAUCUUAAAUACUGAUUGAACCGGGAGAAAGCCUCAAUUAUUAAUCUAGCCUUAUUCAGACUGAUUUUUCCACUGAUUUCUAACAAGAUCCUUGUCUCAGAAUGGAAAUCACUGGUAAGUGUUAUGAUGGAGUAUAGUUAUUUUACAUGUGAAUGGUGCACAUACUCUUUAUCAGUAGUGCCCACAACCAACUGUGUGUGGUUCCAGAGAAAGUCUCCUCACCCCCAAAGCUGACUGAUGCACAUACCGAACAUGUAAUCACAGUUUGAUUCUCUCCCUCCUCCUUACUGUAAGUAGGCCAACAGAGCUUGGGAUGAAUUGAAAACAUACAUCUAUUGAUGGUAACUAUACUCAGCCUUUUCUUAAAACAAGCCUGAUCAUUUCCCUUCCUCCAGGAGCAUCCAAAGCUAUUCAAAUUCCCCUUCGUGUUUCUAUUUUUGUAGACUGUAGAACAAUGGCUAAUCAAACUUUAUCAAGAUAAACAUGAAAAAGUCCACCUGCUUGAAUCACUCCCAUGAGCCCAUAUCCAUAUUUUUCAUAGAAGCCAGUAUAAAUAAGAUAGGUAAAAUAGGUCAUAUAUAAUUCCAAUCCCAUUCAUGAGGGCCCCCUCAUGACCCAAUCACCUCCCAAAGGCCCUGCCUCCUAAUACCAUCUCACUCUCACUGGGGGUUAGAAUUUUAAGAUAUGAAUUUGGGGAGACACAUUUAGUCCAUAACAACCGUUUAAGCACAGGCCCCUUACCACCUGAGCACUCCAUUUCAUCCCUUCA